rnacentral:rRNA from 1 species
AACGAACGCUGGCGGCAUGCCUAACACAUGCAAGUCGAACGCACCGCAAGGUGAGUGGCGCACGGGUGAGUAACGCGUGGGAACCUGCCCUGGAGUGGGGAAUAACCCGGCGAAAGCCGGGCUAAUACUCCAUACGUCCUUAGGGAGAAAGAUUUAUCGCUCUAGGAGGGGCCCGCGUCGGAUUAGCUAGUUGGUGAGGUAACGGCUCACCAAGGCGACGAUCCGUAGCUGGUCUGAGAGGAUGAUCAGCCACACUGGGACUGAGACACG